rnacentral:rRNA from 1 species
GACGAACGCUGGCGGCGUGCUUAACACAUGCAAGUCGAACGGAAAGGCCCUGCUUUUGUGGGGUGCUCGAGUGGCGAACGGGUGAGUAACACGUGAGUAACCUGCCCUUGACUUUGGGAUAACUUCAGGAAACUGGGGCUAAUACCGGAUAGGAGCUCCUGCUGCAUGGUGGGGGUUGAAAGUUUCGGCGGUUGGGGAUGGACUCUCGGCUUAUCAGCUUGUUGGUGGGGUAGUGGCUUACCAAGGCUUUGACGGGUAGCCGGCCUGAGAGGGUGACCGGCCACAUUGGGACUGAGAGACGGCGCAGACUGCUACGGGAGGCAGCAGUGGGAAAUAUUGCACAAUGGGCGGAAGCCUGUUGCAGCAACGCCGCGUGCGGGAUGACGGCCUUCGGGUUGAAAACCGCUUGCGCCUGUGACGAAGCGUGAGUGACGGUAAUGGGUAAAGAAGCACCGGCUAACUACGUG